CCUACGGGUGGCAGCAGUGGGGAAUAUUGGACAAUGGGCGAAAGCCUGAUCCAGCCAUGCCGCGUGUGUGAAGAAGGCCUUCGGGUUGUAAAGCACUUUCAGUGGGGAAGAAAGCCUUGGGGCUAAUACCCUCGAGGAAGGACAUCACCCACAGAAGAAGCACCGGCUAACUCCGUGCCAGCAGCCGCGGUAAUACGGAGGGUGCGAGCGUUAAUCGGAAUUACGGGGCGUAAAGCGCGCGUAGGCGGUCUGAUAAGCCGGUUGUGAAAGCCCCGGGCUCAACCUGGGAACGGCAUCCAGAACUGUCAGGCUAGAGUGCAGGAGAGGAAGGUAGAAUUCCCGGUGUAGCGGUGAAAUGCGUAGAGAUCGGGAGGAAUACCAGUGGCGAAGGCGGCCUUCUGGACUGACACUGACGCUGAGGUGCGAAAGCGUGGGUAGCAAACAGGAUUAGAUACCCCAGUAGUC
rnacentral:rRNA from 1 species